rnacentral:misc_RNA from 1 species
GAUGAAGAACGCAGCGAAAUGCGAUAAGUAAUGUGAAUUGCAGAUUUCAGUGAAUCAUCGAAUCUUUGAACGCACCUUGCGCCUUGUGGUAUUCCACAAGGCAUGCCCGUUUGAGUAUCAUUAAAUCAUCAACUCUAAAACCUUUGUGGUUUUUUUAGAGCUUGGUCUUGAGGGUUUUGCAUGCUUUUUUUUUUUCGAGUCUGCUCCCUUUAAAUGCAUUAGCGAGACUUCCCUAUGCUGAACCGUCUCUUUGACGUGAUAAUUAUCUGCGUCGAAUUUUGGUUCUCGUUGGGCUUGCUUCUAAUCGUCUGUUAAAGACAAAACGGAUUUGGGUGCAUAUAUGCGCCUUUUUCCAAAACCUUUUUUGAUCUCAAAUCGGGUAGGACUACCCGCUGAACUUAAGCAUAUCAAUAAGCGGAGGA